ensembl:lncRNA
CCAGAGCUGUGCUGCCUUCAUGCUUUGCCUCUCUGCUGCCCCCUAACAGAGUUAGGUGUAACUGUGCUUCGGCCCAGGUGGUCUUCCCCCCCUCUCUUUGCCCCUGGUAAGGCCCUCCCCACGGGGAUGACUCUAGAAACCCCCUCCCUUACUGAGGGACACCCGAGUGGAUCUAACCGGUUCUGGAUUCUGUCGGUUGUGAUACCAGCAGAACCGAUAAUGGAAACAGGCAAAUACAGUAAUCUAUGCAUCCAACGUGAGCGUUUUAACAGGUGACCGGAUUUGGAACCUCAAUGUCAAGGAAAUCACCGUGGAAACGGCCUGUUUUCAUGGCUUAAUGGACGUGAAAAUAAGUGGAAAUUUGUCGUUUGUAGUUUAAAUAAUACAUUACCCUGCUGUUCCUUGCUCUGUUUACAUCGUUCAUGUUUUUUCCCGACCUUUUAAAAAAGAAAGGCAACCAAAAAUGCAGUUUGCUAAUGUUCUAAUAUGCCCGCUGCUUCUCUCUGCUGUGUUGAUUUAAUAUCGUUAACACAGAAUGUUUACCUUCCACGACAGAAAACCUUUUUCUGUUGACUAAUAUUGGCAGCCAUUUUAUGAGUACAGAAAACUAUCCGCUCAAAAUGGCAGGGAAUGCAUUGGAGAGCAGCUCCGUCGAGUUUUACUAAAUGAAACAACCGUUUUCCAUGAACUGAGGGCAGAGGAUAAAGAGGGACUAGUCUCCACAAAGACAAACUUAAUGUACAGGUUCUAAGGGUUGACGGCUUUUUGCUUUGAAAACCCUUGUUGCUUCAGUUCACGCUAACUUAAUCGCUUUGGAUGAAGAGAAUUUAAAUAGUUUCAUAGGGUAUUGAUGCGUUUUUACAAAAGAACAUAAGAGGACAUCCUUAUGUUUCAACAUUGCGGUACACUUAAAAAAAUAAAAAUAAAGAAUAAAGGAGCUUGUCUAACUUUGACCAGACUUGUAUUGUGGAGGAGUCACCCCCCCCUGGUCAACUGUGUGUUCUACCAGAGACUGCAUGUUAACCUUGGUUUGCCUCUGGUGUCUGUAAGAUACAGGGUCAGUUAGGAAAGACACACAAAUAUAUUUUCUGUUGGUACCCUUAUUUUGAAGCGUGACAGCAGCGUUCUGCUCGGCAUGUUGGUCACAUCCUGUCCUCAUUCACCACCCCUGUUCAGAGCACAAGUGCACCUGGGAGGUUAAAAUUAGCAGCCUGACAGAAAACUAAUAACUACCCAUUCCUGGUAUAGAUCUGGAGUAUGUUUUACUGUACUCUGCUGAAGCGAGGAGUAACUAACGAUGUAACUUGCUUACGUAGUAGCUACGAAAGUUACUUCUUUGAACAGUAAUAACAGAAGUAACUCUUAUUUGAGUAAUUCUUAUUUGCAUGGUUCGAAAGAGGAGUACCUGGAGUAAAGUUAUCACCAGAAAAACAAGUAAUUAUAUUGAAGAUACUCGGUUAGAGUAAUAAAUAACUACUGUGGUAACUUAAAGUCCCUAGUAACUACUGCAGUACUACUAAAGUACUACUAAGUAGCCAUACAGCGGAACAACAAAUAGUUUAUUCCACAUCAGCGGCAGACCAGAACCUCAUCACACAAGACGAGAAUCCCAGAGUCCCAUCCAUCCAACCGGUCCCAUCUGCCUCCAAACGCUUCAAGUUUGGCAAACCUUGUUCUUAAUCCUGUCUACCUAUCCAGCCUUUGAAACAAGCCUCUUAGCAUUUGCCACAUAGGACAAAAAGCUUGUUUUCAUAUAAUUGUGAGGACUACCUCAUUUUGCAGCCAGGUUUAAAGAAAGAUAUAAUUUCCACCCAUGUCUUGACGCGUAGCUUCAGCUAUCCCCCCCUACCCCCACAGGUCACACUUUGUGUUCUUUUUUUGUGAUAUAAAAAAAAAAAAAGGACAUACCCAAAAUGAAGACUUUUAUUUUGAAGUAGAUAUUUUUGGAGAUUGAGAGUGUUUGUCGGACACAUGCCUGCGGGCCUCGUGUUGUAGAAACUGGGAGCGUAAAGCACUUGGCCGUACUGUGAAGACUGGGAAGGCUGAAAGGGCCGCUGUCUCCCCCAGAGAAACUCGUUAAGCCUAGUUCAGUGUUUGAAACGUCACUGUAUAUUUUAAUGCACCAGACUGCAAGAGAAAAGAAGGGAAUGUUUCCCCGGGUCACAGGUAGUGGAAAGCAGAAAUGUGUAUUUAAAAAGGUUAUUGUGUUUGCUGUUGUAAUUUA